rnacentral:rRNA from 1 species
AAUAGAUACCGGGUAGUCCUAGCCGUAAACGAUGAACACUAGGCGUAGUCGGUAUCGACCCCGGCUGUGCCGCAGCUAACGCAUUAAGUGUUCCGCCUGGGGAGUACGGCCGCAAGGCUAAAACUCAAAGGAAUUGACGGGGGCCUGCACAAGCGGUGGAGUAUGUGGCUUAAUUCGAUGCAACGCGAAGAACCUUACCUGGCCUUGACAUGCAAGUAGUAGAACCCUGAAAGGGGGACGAGGUAGGAAUACCAGCUUGCACAGGUGCUGCAUGGCUGUCGUCAGCUUGUGUCGUGAGAUGUUGGGUUAAGUCCCGCAACGAGCGCAACCCCUGUGUCCUGUUGCCACCCCUUAAUUGGGAGCACUCUGGACAGACUGCCUCGCUUCAACGAGGAGGAGGUGGGGAUGACGUCAAGUCAGUAUGGCCCUUACGGCCAGGGCUGCACACGUACUACAAUGCCCGGCACAGAGGGACGCAAGACCGUUAGGUGGAGCAAAUCCCGAAAAAACCGGGCCAGUUCAGAUUGUCGUCUGA